AACUUUCAACAACGGAUCUCUUGGCUCUCGCAUCGAUGAAGAACGCAGCGAAAUGCGAUAAGUAAUGUGAAUUGCAGAAUUCAGUGAAUCAUCGAAUCUUUGAACGCAUCUUGCACUCCUUGGUAUUCCGAGGAGUAUGCCUGUUUGAGUGUCAUUA
rnacentral:rRNA from 1 species